GUGCCAGCAGCCGCGGUAAUACGUAGGUGGCAAGCGUUGUCCGGAAUUAUUGGGCGUAAAGCGCGCGCAGGCGGCCUCUUAAGUCUGAUGUGAAAGCCCCCGGCUCAACCGGGGAGGGCCAUUGGAAACUGGGAGGCUUGAGUAUAGGAGAGAAGAGUGGAAUUCCACGUGUAGCGGUGAAAUGCGUAGAGAUGUGGAGGAACACCAGUGGCGAAGGCGACCACCUGGACCGAUACUGACGCUGAGGCGCGAAAGCGUGGGGAGCAAACAGGAUUAGAUACCCUGGUAGUCC
rnacentral:rRNA from 1 species